GCAAGAUAAGCUAAUAAAGCUAGUGGGUUCAUACCCCAAAAAUGAGUCGUUCUCUCUUUCUA
rnacentral:tRNA from 1 species